AACUUUCAACAACGGAUCUCUUGGUUCCGGCAUCGAUGAAGAACGCAGCGAAAUGCGAUAAGUAAUGUGAAUUGCAGAAUUCCGUGAAUCAUCGAAUCUUUGAACGCAAAUUGCGCCCCCUGGUAAUUCCGGGGGGCAUGCCUGUUCGAGCGUCAUU
rnacentral:rRNA from 1 species